rnacentral:rRNA from 1 species
UACGGGGGGGGCAAGCGUUGUUCGGAAUUACUGGGCGGAAAGGGCUCGUAGGCGGCCAACUAAGUCGGAUGUGAAAUCCCCAGGCUCAACCUGGGAACUGCAUCCGAUACUGGAUGGCUUGAAUUCGGGAGAGGGAUGCAGAAUUCCAGGUGUAACGGUGAAAUGCGUAGAUAUCUGGAGGAAUACCGGUGGCGAAGGCGGCAUCCUGGACCGACAUUGACGCUGAGGAGCGAAAGCCAGGGGAGCAAACGGG